ensembl:lncRNA
UGCCGCUACUGAGGCACGGAGGAAAAUGAGCUUGUGGGGAAUGCAGGUGGAACUGGCUGAUGAGUUGAGAGAGGGUCGUUCCCUUUCACACUCGUCAGGAGUGGACAAAAGUGAGCUGCUAGAUGAUGAUGCUAUUUCUCUUACAUCGUCUAAUCCAGCGGCUAGUGCUCUGCUGGCUCCAGGCCAGGAAGAGCAGGAGAUGUCGGAUGAGGACAAAGAAGUUGAGACUGACUCCUCUCAUUUUUCCUGCCCUGCGUACGCAGAGUUGCUUGAGGUUAUGGAACGCGCCAUGGCGAGGCUUGUCUUGCCAUGGAAGCAGGUUAAGGAAGUUGCGCCUCGAGGCCACCUCGAUGAGCGUUAUAUUUCUGAUCACACCCCUCCAGCUCAAGUGAGCCUUCCAUUUCUUCCUGAUUUCCAUGUGCAAAUUGAGAAGGCCUGGAAAACUUCGUUUUCAUCCCACGUCCAUAGGUUUCAGUUUACUAGUUAUGCCAAUAUUAAGGCGAUGCGUGAGAACGGUUAUGAGACUCUUGCAAGCUAUCUCUCUGUGGGUCAGACAUCUUCUCUUAAGGCUCCCUCCCUGUCAUCCAAACCCCUUCAGGAUACAUCUUGCUUGAAUGGCAGGGCGUACGCAGCAGUAGGUCAGGCUGCAGCUUUGUUGCACACUAUGGCGGUGCUUCAGGCUUAUCAGGCUGACCUGUUGAAAGACCUGGAUAAAGGCCAUGGUUUAUCCCCUGAUGAGUUCCGUCAAACCACAUAUCUCACUCUCCGUGCCACUAAGCAGACCUCUACUGCCAUUGGCAGAUCCAUGGCGGUUACGGAGAGGCAUCUGUGGGUGAACCUGGCAGAUAUCGGGACAAAAGAGAAGGGCUUUCUUCUUGAUCUGCCAAUUUCCACUUCUGAGCUUUUGGGCACUUCCAUCGAGACAGUGGUCGAGAAGUUUAAGGAAGCCAAGAUGCGCUCGGCUGCCUUUAAAUCCUUUAUUCCACGAACAACUAAGCCUGAACAACUAAGGGGUCCUGGUCCAUCUUGAUCUAAGAAUCAGGAGCGUGCACAGAAGACUAGUGUCGUGACUCGAGCCCCUCAAAGGGUAACAGGCAAGAUUUGAGGGAGUUGAUCCAAACGAGGCCUUCUCAGCACUCAGAACUCCAUAUGCAAUGAUACUGAGUUAGUUAGGCACAUCCUGUUGCCUCCUUGGUCAGUUGCCUCUAUGCUGGGACCCUUUGGUUUCCUGUUGAAAUGUGCAAUCCCCUUUUAAGCUGGAUCCCAUUUCUGAUGUACCAGUUGCGGUUAAUCUGCUCCCCAGACAUGGCUGUGCUCCCCUCACUGCGGGAGGGUCUUUUAUGAGCUCGCCGGUCCUGGGCAGGUUAUGUGAGUGCUUCUCUCUACUUGAG